CCAAGAGUUUUUUAGGCAGUUUGAAAGCUUAAGCUGUUGCAGGGCUAUCCUCUGUCAGCUGCUUCUCAGAAGACCAAGAGCUUAGGCUGUGGCUGUGCCUCAUCCCAUUAGCCUUAGAGCUAAUCUCCGGCCAACACCGGCACCGCCCUCUAGUGUCUAGGGACAGUACACGUCAUGCCGUCAGGGAUCUCUGUAGUAUUGGUCAAACCAUCUCUCUCCACAGCCUUUCCUAUAAAGAUGUAUUAGAUGCUGUGUUGCCUGCUGUGAUAAUUAAUUUUAUGCAUCAAUGUGACUAAGCCACAGAAUACUCAGAAAUCUGGCAGACAUUAUCCACAAUGUGUCUGUGAGGGUGUUCUGGAUCAGAUUAACACUUUCAAUCAAUUGAAGACCUGAAUGUAACAAAAAGACUGAGUAAAAAGGUACUCCUUUUUACUGACUACCUCAAACUGGGACAGCAGUCUUUUCCUGUCUUCUAACUUGAAUUGAAACAUCAAAACUUCUUGGGUGCCAAGUCUGCUGACUUUUGACCUGGAAUCACACUAUCAGCUGUCCUGUUUUUCAAGCUUUUGGACUCAAACUAGAACUUGUACCAUUGGCUCUCCUGGUUGGCAGGCCUUUGGAUUCAGACUGGUGUUACACCAGAUUGUGGGACUUCUCAGCUUUUAUAAUGAUGUGAGCCAACUCCUUAUAAUACAUAUGUCAUAUGAGGAAAAUUUAUUAUAAGGAGUUGGCUGACACAAUUUGAGGGGACUUCAAAAAUUCAUUAAAAAUUCAAAGACAAAAAUAAAGCAUAUCAACUUUAUUGCUCA
rnacentral:lncRNA from 1 species